rnacentral:rRNA from 1 species
AUUGAACGCUGGCGGCAGGCUUAACACAUGCAAGUCGAAAGAGUGGCGGACGGGAGAGUAAUGAUUGGGAAUCUAGCUUAUGGAGGGGGAUAAAUACGGGAAACUGUAGCUAAUACCGCGUACCCUAGGAUGAGCCCAAGUUGGAUUAGGGAGUUGGUGAGGCAAAGGCUCACCAAGCCGACGAUCCCUAGCUGGUCUGAGAGGAUGACCAGCCACACUGGGACUGAGACACGGCCCAGACUCCUACGGGAGGCAGCAGUGGGGAAUAUUGCGCAAUGGGGGCAACCUGACGCAGCCAGGCCGCGUGAGUGAAGAAGGCCUUCGGGUUGUAAAGUUCUUUCGGUAGCGAGGCGUUAACUACAGAAGAAGCACCGGCUAACUCCGUGCCAGCAGCCGCGGUAAUUC